rnacentral:rRNA from 1 species
UACGUAGGGGGGCAAGCGUUGUCCGGAAUCAUUGGGCGUAAAGCGCGUGUAGGCGGCCCGGUAAGUCCGCUGUGAAAGUCCAGGGCUCAACCCUGGAAUGCCGGUGGAUACUGUCGGGCUCGAGUCCGGAAGAGGCGAGUGGAAUUCCUGGUGUAGCGGUGGAAUGCGCAGAUAUCAGGAGGAACACCAAUAGCGAAGGCAGCUCGCUGGGACGGUACUGACACUAAGGCGCGAAAAGCGUGGGGGAGCGAAACAGG